AUUGAACGCUAGCGGCAGGCCUAACACAUGCAAGUCGAACGAGACGGGGGCGGGUGAGAAAUGUAUGGGAACAUGCCUGAGGGAGAGGUAUGACUACUGGAAACGGUAGCUAAUAACGCCUUCCAUGGGAUGUACCGAGAUGGGUUUAGCUAGUAGGUGGGGUAAAGGCUCACCUAGGCGACGAUCCCUAGCUGGUCUGAGAGGAGGCCCAGCCACACUGGAACGGAGCCACGGCCCAGACUCCUACGGGAGGCAGCAGUGGGGAAUAGUGUACAAGGGGAGCAACCCUGAUGCAGCCAUGCCGCGUGUAUGAAGAAGGCCUUCGGGUUGUAAAGUACUUUUAGCGGGGAAGCGUUACCCGCAGAAUAAGCACCGGCUAACUCCGUGCCAGCAGCCGCGGUAAUAC
rnacentral:rRNA from 1 species